GCAUUCAUUCCGUUUCACGAAUUGUCUGCAGACGAUGGGGUACAGGGUUUUCACCCCGUAGGCAGCGGCCGCGAGAAAGAUAGCUCGCUUCGCUGCAGUCGUCCGGUCCCAUUUAACUCUGAACGCCGCAUCAAGUAUAUUGGACAUCUUUCCCCUACGCAGCGAUCAAAGAGCUAGUCUGGUUAUUUCCGUGCUACAUCCAUCGGGAUUUUAGUAUGAUUAUGGAUCUUGAAGCGAAAAGAAAAGGAAAAACCAUCUCCCUCAUACAACGGAAUUAUUUGAAAAUAAGAAAACCAACCUCUCCUGAAGGAGCCAGCUCUGGAAGUAUGUACCUGGUGACUUUAUUCAUAGUUAACCAGAUUGAUGCAAAGAAAGAAAACAAUGAUCUGCCAAAGAUAACUUGCAUCACUGAUGAUAAGGGAGGACCCAAGUCAAUGAGGGAGGGGCCCCUGGAGUUACCCAUUAGCCCUUGCUCCCCAUCACCUCUUUCCCUUGUGGAGAGCCAGCCUUUGUACAUGCUGCUAGAAAGAGAAAGCACUGCAUUCCUGAUGGAUUCAAGUGUAGACAGCUCUCACCAGUGCUGGAAUCAAACAUGUCAGACACCAGUACGUCAGACUACCAGCAACACAUCACCCUGAGCACCUUCUCCUCGGCAUCGUCGUCAGUCUACUCCUCAGGGGCAGACAUGUUCUCCCUCCAGCAGAGAGCACAGGUCCAGCCACAGCCACACUACUCCCCUAGACCACCCUGGGAUAUCUCCACCUCAGAGCAACCACAGUUUAUACCUUUAUCUCAGCCAGGAGGGAGGAGAGAGUGUGCCUCGUGGGCCACAGGACCAAGUGGACCCAAACAGCAGCUGAGCAUAACCCCCCCCCCCCCCCCAGUAUCCAAAGUAUGGUUUGGAGGCACAGAGCCUGAGUGAGUACUGAACUGAAAUAUCAAAGAUGUGUUUUUACCUGAUAUGCAGCAAAUCAUUUUCUUUAUCCGUCUUCUGUUCAUACAUUAUUGAGAUUGACAACCCCACCCGAACUGAUAUUCUUUCUUUCCUGAUUUCCAUUGCUGUAUCGAUUACAUCUGUGAAGAUAGACGUAUUAGUUGAUAUUUCCAUAACUUGCCUACCCAGUAGCACAGAGACCAUGCCAUGCACAUAGUGGGGUUCUCUAUCAACCAAUCUGAGGGCAAAGACCACACCUUGGAGUUCUCUCUCAAAAAUCAGACAAUGGAGUUCUCUGUCAACCAAAUAGAGAGUGAAGAGCAACACACCACUAUGAUACAUGUUUUUGCAGAAAGUUUGUCAACCUCUACUGACAUACAGUACCAGUCAAACGUUUGGACACACCUACUCAUUCCAUGUUUUUUCUUUAUUUUUACA